rnacentral:lncRNA from 1 species
AGCCGCUGUCUCUGUGGGCACAGUUUCAGUUUUGCAAGAAGAAAAAUUCUGGAGGUGGAUUGCACAACAAUGUAAACACACUUAACCGAACUGCACGCCCAAAAACGGUCAUGACGGGCUGGCUGUGCCCACCUCACGUCUCUUCUUGGAAGCUCAGUCCCACCUCAGGGCCUUUGCACCUGCCGUUCCCUCUGCCCGGAAUUCUCUGUCUCCAGACAUCUGCACGGCUCCCCCUUCAGGGUCUCUCACAGGCUGCCGGCGGGUGUCAGCUGGGGCUGCGGUCUCACUGGAAGCCUCAAUCAGGGAAGGAAACCCCUCCUGCAGGCCUCGGCUUCAACACGAGCUCUUUGAAGAUGCAUUCCUGGCCCAGCACAACACUGAGGCCUGUACGGUCGAGUCAGCUCAGCAGCCCAGGGGGCCCUGAUCCUGCACGUUCCCAAGAAAGGCCCAUCUGCAAGCCCGGCCCUACUCCUAGGAUGUCACCUGCUUGCCCCUGGGGCGUCCUGCCUGUGAGAAUCUGCACCCUGGACCUCAGCCGGGAUGGACGCCCUUGGCUCCUGUGAGAUUCCGCUGGGCCUGGGCCCCCGUUCAGAAUCAGCGGGACCUCUGCAGGGGCUGCAGCCCGGGACAGCCACACGCUGGUCAGCCACGCCUACGCGCCCACCUCCCCGUAAAACGCUGGGCCCCAGGGCUCAGGCGGGUGUCCCUGCUUGGCGACAGUCCACGUGGAGAAUUCACGGCUGUCCGCUGACUCCAAGGGCGGACACUGGAAGCUGGCGCCUGGCCUUGCCGGGUCCCGCUCCUCGAGCUUUUGCUCUUUGCUGACUUUAAUCUGUAUCCUUCCCCUGUGAUAAACCGUAAUCACGAGUAGAACAGCUUUUCUGCGGUCUGUGAGUCCUAGUGAAUCAUGCACCCCAAGGGGGGUCUUGGGGACCGCCACCCAAGCCCCCCACCCC